rnacentral:rRNA from 1 species
GACAGAGGUCCCGAGCGUUAGGCGGAAUCACUGGGCUUAAAGCGUGUGUAGGCGGAUCGUUAAGUGCCUUGUGAAAUCCCAUGGCUUAACCAUGGAACUGCUUGGCAUACUGGCGGUCUUGAGCCACUUAGGGGCAACCGGAACAAAUGGUGGAGCGGUGAAAUGCGUAGAUAUCAUUUGGAACGCCAAUGGUGAAAACAGGUUGCUGGGAGUGUGCUGACGCUGAGACCCGAAAGCCAGGGGAGCGAACGGG